rnacentral:rRNA from 1 species
CCUACGGGAGGCAGCAGUGAGGAAUAUUGGUCAAUGGCCGGAAGGCUGAACCAGCCAUGCCGCGUGAAGGUCAGUGCCCUAUGGGCGUUAAACUUCUUUUGUGCGGGAGCAAUAAUGGUCACGUGUGGCCAGACGAGAGUACCGUACGAAUAAGCAUCGGCUAACUCCGUGCCAGCAGCCGCGGUAAUACGGGGGAUGCAAGCGUUAUCCGGAUUUAUUGGGUUUAAAGGGUGCGUAGGCUGUGAGGUAAGUCAGCGGUGAAAUGCCCCCGCUCAACGGGGUGAAGUGCCAUUGAUACUGCCUGGCUGGAAUGGGGAUGCGGUGGGAGGAAGGUGUGGUGUAGCGGUGAAAUGCAUAGAGAUAACACAGAACACCGAUUGCGAAGGCAUCUCACGAAUCCGCGAUUGACGCUGAUGCACGAAAGCGUGGGUAUCAAACAGGAUUAGAUACCCUUGUAGUC